GUAGAGAUCUGGAGGAAUACCGGUGGCGAAGGCGGCCCCCUGGACAAAGACUGACGCUCAGGUGCGAAAGCGUGGGGAGCAAACAGGAUUAGAUACCCUGGUAGUCCACGCCGUAAACGAUGUCUACUUGGAGGUUGUGCCCUUGAGGCGUGGCUUCCGGAGCUAACGCGUUAAGUAGACCGCCUGGGGAGUACGGCCGCAAGGUUAAAACUCAAAUGAAUUGACGGGGGCCCGCACAAGCGGUGGAGCAUGUGGUUUAAUUCGAUGCAACGCGAAGAACCUUACCUGGUCUUGACAUCCACAGAACUUUCCAGAGAUGGAUUGGUGCCUUCGGGAACUGUGAGACAGGUGCUGCAUGGCUGUCGUCAGCUCGUGUUGUGAAAUGUUGGGUUAAGUCCCGCAACGAGCGCAAC
rnacentral:rRNA from 2 species